UGCGCUUGAGUAUUUGUUAGGAGUGUUGUGGUCUUGGGAUAGCCAAGGUUAGAUGCAAAUUGGCAGGGCAAAUGUUGUGCCGCUGCUUGCGACGACGUGGGCUGGUCUGGACGGUUCGUCUUUUUGUCCGAGGGGUCCUGCGAACGAUCGCCUUGCCUUGGCGGGCUGAUCAACUCCAGGCUCCAGACGUUAGGAAUCCGAUUCGCGGAGGAGCUUUAGGUUUAUCUCAGGAGGAAUUUGAUUCAAGAUUGCGAAUUACAUUUCGAAGCCAAAGUGCUGCUUUUAGAGGCAAAGAGAUCCUUUCAUCCUGAGACGGAACGCCGCCCUGGCGGAUGAGUGGUGCAUCCAGAAACAUUGCCA
rnacentral:lncRNA from 1 species